CUUCAGCGAACCCAGGUACAGCGGCGACCCGCGAUCCUGGCCGUAGGUCGCCAGCAGCGCCUCCGCCUC
rnacentral:antisense_RNA from 1 species